CAUUUUAACGUGGACGUUGGUUGCGACACAACGUGAUUGAACGCGAUUAAAACGAUCUGGUGUAAUUAGCGCUGGGCGUAGACAAGGCUGGUUAACGCAGUCGGCCUCAGCAGCUGUGAUUCACCCGCGGGCCAGGCUGGCCUUCACCUCAGGAUCCCAGAGCUGGGGCCCAGAGCCCCAUCCGCUCACCCCUGUGGUGAGGAGAGUGUCCCGAGAAGGGGGAUCUGCCCUGUACUGGAAAACUGAGAAAAAAAGAGGUCUCAAAACCUGAGAAUCUCAUCUGUGGUCACCCCAUUGUUUACGGGUGUCAUUUCAAGUGUGAAAGACUGAAACUCUACAAACCUACAGGCUGGAAAAGCUCCAACUAGCACCAAGGCUCCUCCUGUUCCAUGACAGAUGUUGGAGAAUGCUCCACAGAAGAAAGCAUGAAGCCCCUCUUGCUCAUACAUUUUCAUAAAACAAGUCUCACCUGCUGUAAGGCUAUACAGUCCUUCAUUUAGUGCAUCAAACUUCAAAAAUUAGUAAUUUCCAGAAAAGGAUUCCAAGCUAGACCAUACCUGCAUCAUCAUGUGUCUCCUGACAGUAUCAGAAGGAUAAGACAGCAUUCCUGAGCAAGUAGUCAAAACCUCAGCAAUGAAAAAGGAAAGACUGAAUGGGAUUUGCUUUGGAUUUGGUAACUACACCCAAGCUCUUAGGAUUCUCUACAGGUGCAAACACAGCAAGCAAUAAGCUGCUAUUUGAAGGAAGAACUUCAGACUCUACUUGUUACACUGAAGGCAUUUGGUAUUUGAAAUCUGCAUUUAUUCUGACACCAACAGACAUACACAUUCAGUGUCAGCACAAGAAAAUCUAAAACUCUAAGUGAAAUAUCCAUAAUGCUGACAAAUAGAACAGAAUCAAACAAGCUGCUGCCUGCUGUACUCAUGUCUGAAGAAGCCAGAAAAGCACAGGCUGAAGUAGCUGUGGCCAAACCAGAAUUUUUUACUUCCAAGUAUAACUCUCAACUCACCAAGCUGCACUCACUAUAGACAUCUGUUUUCUAUGGGAAUGAUUGUGUAGUUCCCAACUUCAAAUAAAGGAUCCUGCAGGAAAAUGGGUGAUCUGGGAAGGGCAAAGCACUUACGUAAAUGCCACAGUGACAAGAGAGGACACCUGCAUUCAUUUUCUAGCCCCAUAUAAACAAGUUUUCCUAGAGAGAUCUGAAAAUGACAUUACCUUGAUUUCCUGAGGCAGCGUCAGCCAGCGCAAGCCUGGGAGAUUGUCUAAAAAUAUUGCACUGCAGGUAUCAUAGUGCUGAACACUCGGGCUGGUGUUUGACUUGAGUCUUGCAGGCUGAAGCGCACGCUGGAAGAACAGGUUGAAAAAAUGAUCCAGACGAGAAACAUUUUCCACCUGGCAAAAAGCACUGAACAAACAUGAACUCCAAGUUAGACUAACAGUGAGAAGCUUUUAGUUUGUUUAUGUAACUCUGUGCUAUAGAAGUCUCUUUACAGCAUGGUACUACAUUUGUAUUUUUUUUAAACAUGAAUUUUAAACAUGAAAAAACCCACUAGGCUAAUAUCCAAGCAGUAGCCAUAAACAAAGGAAAAACUAAAGCAGUAUAUUAUAAUAGAUGUUUGAGAGUGACUUAAAAUAAGACAAUGCUCAGCUUCAUCCUUUUGGAAAUUUAAGAUUAUUCUUUUUCUUUACUUUAGUAAUUUAACUUUUUUUGGUGUAUUACAGGUCUUUUAUCUUCAAAAGAUACAAAAAACCACCCUGCUAUUCCAAAUGGUUUCCUAUACUUCUAUGCAAAGAAAAUACUUUACUCCUCAAAUUCAAAGCUAAGCUUUGUCUGAGAUGCAUUUGAAUAGCUGCAGGUAUUAAAAAUAAACAUUGCUCCUUGUCAUGAAGUGACAUGAAAAAAGUUGUAAGAAAAAGAUGAGGCCUGAUAUUUCACCAGAUUGUUCUUUCUAGAAACUUCUGUGCUGUCCAACACAGCAAAAUGGAUAUAAAUAUUAGCUUUUUCUCUGUGGCAUACACAUUUCAACUCUGAAUUGAAUGCAAGCAUAUGAAUAGCCUACCUUGGCAAUUUUAUUUAGGUUACAGUCAGACUUAAAAUUUUCUGGGUCAUUUUCAAAUGCAGAGAAAGACAGUCACUCUGCCAAAUAAAGCUGAAAACUCUAGAGUGUUUACACUGAUUCAUAUAUACAUUUUACAGGCAAUGCUUUAACACAAAGGAGUGUUGCAAAGCACAGUUAACAUCCAGAGUGACUUAGAAUUAUGUGAAUGAUUUAACCUAAUCAAGGACAAAGCUUUCUGAAGUAACAAAGGCUGUUUAAAAACUAGAAUCUUACUAGUGUUAAGACUGAAACAAAAAAGGAAGAACAGAGUCCUGGUUUAUUGUACAAGUAUAAAGGACCAUCCAAAACAUUUCCAAGUAAACAUUACAAUCAAUGCUACUGUCUUUUUCAAUGAGUAUACAUAAAAAUUAAGUGACUGAAAAUACUUUUGAAAGAACUCACCUGUCUAAGGAACUAUACAUAAAUUUCAAGGUGCUGACAACAUCUUCCAUCAUGUUCCUCAGCUGAGAAAGCGGCACACUAAAAAAAAAAUAAAAUUCAAAUAUACGCCUAUAACACAUUUACUAUGAAUAAGCACAGGCAUCUUCUGAAGAGCUCUAUUCUUAACUAGUCCUAUACUGCAAACAAAUUCAGUAGCCUCUAAUCAGGACUUGACUUUACCAAACACUGAAAAUUAUUAUUUUCUAGACUACAUAGAUUUCAAAUGAGAACUUACAUCACAGGUAUAGAAACUAGUAAUAGUAAAAAAAAAAAAAAAUUACAUUGUAAGCUUUUCCUUUCUUACUUUUUUGAUAGCCAAAGAGUACAACUUGAGGAUACACAACAGAAAAGGACAACAAAGCAUUUCAUCUGAAACUCACUUUUCUUCAGGAAGGCCAAUUACAAGUAACUUGUCAGAUUCUUUCCAGUAAACAACUUGAACCAGUUUUUCGCAUAAGAAAAGGGAAGAACUAGAAAAAUUAAACAAGAAGUGCUCAUUUUAAGACUACGAACUUAGAAAAGAACACCAUUAUAAGCCAGAAUUAUUUGUGUGUUUCAUAUGCAAAGUCUUGCACUCAUGUAUAACCACAGGCAUGCAACUGGGCUAAGUAAUUAUGAGAGAACUGAAAGACCCUCUGACUUCCAGUCCAAACAUAUCUUGUCAGCAGUAACAAUGUUUUCAAGUAUACAAAUAUAAAGGAUAAACAACCCCUGUCAAAGUACCACACUCAUCUUCUGAAUCAUCUCUGGCAUACACCUGCCUAGCUUUUAACACAAUCAACUUAGAAAACAAAUGCCACUUCAAGUCAGUGAGGUAACUGGAGGUACUAACAAAGGUUCUGAAUGCAGCAGUCACUCAGCAAAUAAUUUAAAAAGUCCCCACAUGUUUUGAAAACGUUAUUUAAACAUAUUACUUGAGUGAUAAACAAACCUGAACACUCAUGUUAUCUCCUUGUAUAGAGAAUUGUUCCACAGAGUUCAGCAAUCCCAGAUAGACAUAGAGAACUUUCAUUUAAACCAUUAAGUGGAUUACAGCAUGAAAAAGAAUUACACCCAGUGUUCUGAUUAGCCAUAAACUAUGCAUUAUGCACUAGAUGAUCAGAUUAAAUGUACUGGUUGCUGCUAAGAACAAGUCCUGUAAGUAUCUUUAACACUCAAUUUAUAGCAAAUCCCCACCUUUCUUACCAUGAUGUCAGAAAUUUAAAUAGCAAGGUAACACUGCUGCAAAGUGAAAAAGGGUAACUUUAGUUUAAAUCUGGAAGAUUCAAUAAUUUAAUUUUUAGGAUAUGGCUCUGUGAUUAACUUGCCUUGCUGAUUCGCUUGUACUGAAAAAUGGAUGGUACUGAAUAAAACAAUAGUGUCAUGUAUUUCAGCAGGUCACCAGAAAAUUUUUAUCGUUGAGGUAACCAGAAGUGCUUUCCAAACAAAAAAUGUUAUAUAUUUAUAAUGCAGUUAACUACAAAGAAAGAAACAUCCACAUCCCAAAAGAUACACAGUACAUGUGCAGACACAAUAAUAACAGUAAUUUACUCUUCUGACAAAAAAAAAAAAGCUUCAUAGAGAGCUGGGGAUUAUCAAUUUUUUUUUUUUUUUAAGAGAUAAGAAAGUCCACAGAGACCAGCAGAAGUGCUUUUAUAUUUUUAGAACUCAAAACUGAGCAACUGAGAAACUUAACAAGCAAGGUGAACCUGUAUUACCACACAUUUCUGCACUGGUUUUCAGAUGAUACCGUAUGUAUAGCUCAUUAAACAAUGGAUUGAUUUGCCUUUUGGAUACCUUUGGACAUCUGGAGAUACUAAAAAAUGAUUCUGUAUGGGAAAAUUUCCAUUAAUGAUGCAUAAGCAUUUAAGAGGAGUUAAUAUACUUCAGUCCUAACUAAGAUGACAUUGCAUUAAAAUACUAGCAUAUGCAAGAGGUCAAAAGCCUGUCUUUGAUACCUGCUUCUAAAAGAGUCAAUCCAAUUCCUUCUGACCACUAUGUCAGUAACAUGAGUUUCAGUAACUUAUUAACUAGAAAGCUAUAAGCAUGUUUAAAACAGUGUAAAAACUCCUAACUCUUAAUAGCAGGAUACCAAGAAGUCUGAGGAAAAAAAAAACCUAAUUAAAAGAGACAAAUUUAAAUUAACAAGUAUUCAUUUUCUGGCAAGCCAAAAUAUUCAAAAGCACUUCAAGAACUCCUUUUAAGGAAAAAUUUCUAAGUGGAAAACGCAACUUAAAUGUAUUAAACAGACUUUUUGCCUUUUGAGGCAUUUCUUAUUAUUGCAAAUGCAGUUCACUACUGCUUGGACUCUCUAUGCUUAAGCCUGAAAUCCCACUUCCAUUUGGCUUUUUUAUACCAAUACAGGUCUUGUGUCUGACACACAAGGCACUGAUGUUGAGAAGAAAAUCUUGCCUGAGACCCCCCAAGAGAUGUAAACUCAUAUAUUAAUUUUCAGUGGGAAGAAGUGCAAAACUGAAAAGUGGUACCUGCUAUCUCACUUCUAAUUAUUCCAUCAGAAAAUCAUCUACCUUUAAAUACUCAGUGAUCUCUUGACACAUCUCCAUCACUCCUAUGCCACUCUAAAAGGUCAGGAAUCAUUUUUAUUAGACUUCUUACUAGAGCGCUGGUCUCUGGAUACAAAAAUCUUUCAGGUGAAUGUUUUAAGAGGUCUAAGAAGAGAUGUGAAAACAAUUUAACUGAACUAAAAAUCCUAGUAACUGACACCCUCAAAUCAAAGUACAUCCAGGCUGAGCAGUCCAACUUCAGGCAUGCUGUUCUAGGUAAAACAUUACUGUCUAACAGGUAGAGCUACUCUUGUUUUGUUGACAACUUGAUGCAUGACCUAUUUGUGGUCUUCUGUACAUGUGUAUAAAAUAAAAAAUAGCAAUACAUUA